UACGAAGGGGGCUAGCGUUGCUCGGAAUUACUGGGCGUAAAGCGCACGUAGGCGGCUUCUUAAGUCGGUGGUGAAAUCCUGGAGCUCAACUCCAGAACUGCCUUCGAUACUGGGAAGCUCGAGUCCGGGGGAGGUGAGUGGAACUGCGAGUGUAGAGGUGAAAUUCGUAGAUAUUCGCAAGAACACCAGUGGCGAAGGCGGCUCACUGGCCCGGUACUGACGCUGAGGUGCGAAAGCGUGGGGAGCAAACAGG
rnacentral:rRNA from 1 species